rnacentral:rRNA from 1 species
UACGUAGGGGGCGAGCGUUGUCCGGAAUCAUUGGGCGUAAAGCGCGUGUAGGCGGUCUGUCGCGUCUGCUGUGAAAAUCCGGGGCUCAACCCCGGACUUGCAGUGGGUACGGGCAGACUAGAGUGUGGUAGGGGAGACUGGAAUUCCUGGUGUAGCGGUGAAAUGCGCAGAUAUCAGGAGGAACACCGAUGGCGAAGGCAGGUCUCUGGGACGGUACUGACGCUGAGACGCGAAAGCGUGGGGAGCGAACAGG